CCAAACCCAGAGAGGUUUCACUGCCAGGUGAUGUAGAAGCCCCUAGGGUUACUGAUCUCAGCCUUUCAACUUGUUCGCUCUGCUGAAUGACAAGAAGCAACCCAGUCCUGCUUGUGGGUGUGGAGUUCCUCCUACAAAAUUCCAUGCCUGCUACAAAUACAUUGCUGUUCAGUGGACAGGUCAACUUUGCUUUGGAACUUUCUUGGAGAAGAUUUUAGCAGCCAGGUUUGUGACACUGUACUUUAUAUUUUAAAUGCUCAACAAUAACUUACUGACACUUGCACG
rnacentral:lncRNA from 11 species